UUUCGUGGACGCCGGGUGAGUGAGAGAGUUGGUUGGCGUCGGGCCGGAGGAAAGCGGGAAGACUCAUCGGAGCGUGUGGAUUUGAGCCGCCGCAUUUUUUAACCCUAGAUCUCGAAAUGCAUCGUGAUUCCUGUCCAUUGGACUGUAAGGUUUAUGUAGGCAAUCUUGGAAACAAUGGCAACAAGACCGAAUUGGAACGGGCUUUUGGCUACUAUGGACCACUCCGAAGUGUGUGGGUUGCUAGAAACCCACCCGGCUUUGCUUUUGUUGAAUUUGAAGAUCCCCGAGAUGCAGCUGAUGCAGUCCGAGAGCUAGAUGGAAGAACACUAUGUGGCUGCCGUGUAAGAGUGGAACUGUCGAAUGGUGAAAAAAGAAGUAGAAAUCGUGGCCCACCUCCCUCUUGGGGUCGUCGCCCUCGAGAUGAUUAUCGUAGGAGGAGUCCUCCACCUCGUCGCAGAGUCACCAUCAUGUCUCUUCUCACCACCCUCUGAAUCUGCAUUAGCCAGUCAACUAGCCCUUUCAGCGUCAUGUGACCAGCGCGCCCCAUUCAGCUUGGCUGGUGUCGUUUCACAUGACCCAGGCUGGCCAGUCGUCAGGUUGCACCGCCCUUUGGUUCCCGAGCAUGCUGUUUUCUCUCAGCCUUCUCUCCAACCUUAACCAAAUCGGCAGCAGCCACCUCGACCGCCCACACAUUCCUGGCCAAUCAGCUCAGCUGUUUAUUUACCAAAUGUCUUCACAACAACUACAGCAGCAGCCUUCGGCUAACAAAAAAGCAGGAAAAAUCCACAACACCCCCUUCGCCAACCAACUAAAUCCAACGCAACAUCUGGCAAAACCUUUUCAGCAAAUUCUUCCUGGCCGUCAGUCCGGCAGCCUCACCUCACCAUUUCUAGCUUGUUGAAACCCAAAACUAGUAAGUUUUUCCUGCUUAUACAGUUUACUGCUGGUUAAAAUAAGGAGUAAGCGGCUUAAAGUAAUUCUUUUUUCUGGAUCAAAGGCUGGCUGUGCAUAAUUGAAUGGUAACGUACAUAUAUAUUGCUUGAAAAACUUUUAAGGGUGAUAGGGAACUCGUAAUGUAACUAGGCCUUCAAGUGAAACUUAUUUGCAUGUGCAAGAUGCCAAACUAAAAAUUUUAAUAUCUCUAACAGAUUAGCUUUUCUGGCAAAAAUUUGUUGAAUCCUAUCACCUUUAAAUGGUUUUACUAACAGUUUCAAAAUUUAAAAUUUUGGGGUUGAAGUGUGGGCCAAGCUAAGGUAAUUUUGGUAAGCCUAAACACACUCUUAAAUGUGACGAUCACAAAUGCAGUUCUAAUGUAGCACUUAAUGGCAUCAGUAUUUACACCUACCGCGUUUUCACAAAAUUACACUAUCCACCUGGUACCUAAGUCUUGUCAUGGACUUAAAGGUUUGCAUGGGUUCCAAAUACUGGUUUAUGGUACUGUUUUUGGAACUACUUGUGGGACUAUAUUUUGGUGUGGUGUUUGGGUAGUGAAGUUAGUUUGACAUGAAGUUUUGCAUU
rnacentral:sRNA from 1 species